GUGGGGAAUAUUGGACAAUGGGCGCAAGCCUGAUCCAGCCAUGCCGCGUGAGUGAUGAAGGCCUUAGGGUUGUAAAGCUCUUUCAGUGGGGACGAUAAUGACGGUACCCACAGAAGAAGCCCCGGCUAACUUCGUGCCAGCAGCCGCGGUAAUACGAAGGGGGCUAGCGUUGUUCGGAUUUACUGGGCGUAAAGCGCACGUAGGCGGGUCGUUAAGUCGGGGGUGAAAUCCUGGAGCUCAACUCCAGAACUGCCUUCGAUACUGGCGACCUAGAGUCCGGAAGAGGUGAGUGGAACUCCUAGUGUAGAGGUGGAAUUCGUAGAUAUUAGGAAGAACACCAGUGGCGAAGGCGGCUCACUGGUCCGGUACUGACGCUGAGGUGCGAAAGCGUGGGGAGCAAACAGGAUUAGAUACCCUAGUAGUCC
rnacentral:rRNA from 1 species